UCAGCGGCUGGAGCGGCUACUGGAGCAGGAGGAGUAACUGCUUCUGGUGUUGGAGCCGGUGGAGAGCUCACCGGAGCGGAAGCCUUGGGUGAAGGAGACGGUGGAGAGCUCUCGGGAACUGGUGUCGGCGGUGGAGAGGAUACUACAGGAGCCGGAGACUUAGGUGCUUCCACGGGUGAAGAAGCAGGCGUUUUAGCCAUGGGAGAGGAAGGAGUAGCGGCGGGAGGGUUGGCAGGGGAAGUAGUUGGAGCAGAAGGAGCGGCGGGAGAGCUAGUUGGAGAGGAGGCAGGAGAC
rnacentral:lncRNA from 1 species